rnacentral:lncRNA from 1 species
AUUGUUGAUGUAUCUGAAGUUAAGAUGAGCGAGCUUGCGGUGCCAUAGCCAGCUGACUUCGGAUACGACUUUGGAUAGAAAGCGUAACUACAGUUUGCCUAUGAUCAGAGAUACAUCCAGAGGGUACAUAGUACCUUCGGAUCUAGACUUGAUCAAACUAGUGUUCAUAUCACUUGUCAUUACAUUGCAAAAUUGGUCAUCAAAUUCAACACGAUGGCCUGCUUUACAUAGUUGACCAACAUUGAUGAGAUUGUGCUUAAUUCCUUCUUCAAAAGCAAGCUUUUGAAUAGAGAAGUUUCCCGUAGUAAGAACACCAUAACCUAGGAUUAUCCCAUUCCCAUUGUUCCCAAAUGUGACAUUUCCACCAUUGCAAAUUGGUCUGAAAUCUCGAAUGUAUUCUAACCUUCCCGUCAUGUGCAAGGAGCAUGCACUGCCGAUUAACCAUUCUUCUUCUUGUUCCUCCUUGCACAAGGCCUGAAAAUUACAUGGUUAGUUUAGGCAUCCAAACUAGUUUGGAGCCUGGUACAAUAGAUGAGUUUCUGAUUAAUGCAUGAAACGAGGUUGAAGGGACUGGUUUUGUGUCAAAUUUUAAUCCUAUUCCUAGGUGUCUAUGAGUUUUUGGAGUGAUGUGCCUUUUUGAAAAGUUACGAGGUUUCUGAAAAGGAUCAGUUUUGACUCGAGAUAACCUUUUCUGACAACUACAUUAACAUUGACAAGCUAACAUUUUGUCUUCUGUUUUGGCACUUUGUUUGGUCAACGGUCGGAAGGAUGUAGUAGAUUUGUGAUUGGUCCGAGGUUGGUAAGAUCAGAAAUGUGUGCUGUUGGAAUUAGAAAAAGUUUGUCUCGAAGAAGAUUUAGCACUUGUAGAUACCUUGGGCCUUUUCUUGGGAUUCGGUAAAAUUCCCUUCCACUUGUUAUAAUUUUUAUGUGAUUUAAAAAGUGUUGGAAUGGGUAAGAUACCCUUCCAUGUUGGAUUGUCCGAGGAAUAGAUUUCAAAACUAUUGCUUCGAAAAGACCUUUCUUUCUUUUGGGUUUUGUCAGAUGAAUUAGGAAUGGAUGUUGAAACUGCACAUUCCUUUUUGCAUGUUUUCUAGAUGGGAGAGUUUUUUGAAAAAUAGUGAUCAAAAACAAACUUUUCUGGACUCUUAGAUUUUGGAAAUCAUAUACGUCUUUUAUUUUUAGAAAAGGUUUGUCGAUUUGUGCCUUGAGAUCGAAUAUCCUCUUUGAAAGACUUUUUUGCUAAAGUUUUUGGAGAACCAUAGUCAUUAGAGUUUAACUGCGGUUUCCUGGAAACCUUCGAAAUUUUUUGAUAACGAGGGUUUGACUCAUCAGAACUUGAAGAUUCAGAGUUUUGAGAGCAUUGACCUACUUCAGAAUUUUCUAUGGGUAGUUCAUGACGAAUUGGAUAAGAGUCACUGAGCUUUUUAUUGUGGACUUUGGUAAGGAAAACUUAGCUACCUUAGCGUAAGUCUGAGUUGUGACUGGAGUGGGAUUUUUCUAAGGAUCAGGACUGUAGUGAGGGGCACAUCGGUCUGAGGAUAAAGGUGGAAAGUCCUGUAAGACUUCGUGACUUUCUAUGUCAAUUUCUUCAUUAACAACAUAUGAGGUCUGAGAAUUUGAGUUGAUUGUGCCACGGAUAGGAGGUUGAUCACAUGUGUGUUCCGAAACCUCAAACACAAUUUCCUCAAUGACACAAUUAUUACUUAGAUUAUGAAGUCUACCAAAGUGGGUUCUGAUAUCUUCGGGAAAAGUGUGACACCCCCAAACCAGAACGGCGGAAUCAUUCGAGGGAGGAUGACUUCAUGUUGUAUCGAAACAAUAAAGAAAGCAAUACAACCAUCACAUAUAUAAUUUAAAAGUUUACAAUGUUGAAAGGUACUUGUUUCAAAAGAAAAUUACAAUAUGAUGUUUAAAAUGAAAUUAAACUAACGCCAUAGCGUCCCUUCUUCAAAAGUUGUAGUUUUACCUGAAUUACUGAAUCCUUGAGAAAUACAAGUAGUUUUGAAAGAGUAGAUCAACAUUUAAGCUGGUGAGUUCAUACCGAAGGUUUAUACAGAAGUUCAUACCGAUGGUGUCUAGUCCACCUGCUGUCUUGGGUAAUUUGGUUAUGAAGUCCAAUGUUAUCAGUUCCCACUUCUACUUAGGUAUUUCAGGUUGUUGCAGCAAUCACGAUGGCUUCUGGUACUCUACCUUGACCUUAGCACAAGUUAGACACUUGCUCACAUAGGUAGCGAUCUCUACUUUCAUGUUCGGCCACCAAUAUAGUUUCUUGAGGUCCAAAUACAUCUUUUCCGAACCUGGAUGCAUGGAGUAUUGAGUCUUAUGAGACUCGUUCAUGACCACGCCUCUGAAUCCACCAAACUUCGGUGUCCAGAUCCGAUCCAUGAUGUAAUGAACUCUUUCACCCUUGACUUCAAGAUUGUUGUCCAUUCCUCUUAGGGCUUCACCUGCCACGUUCUCUGUUUCCAAGGCCUCUCUCUGAGCUUCCUUGAUUUGUGUGGACAGAUGUGAAUGGAUCGUCAUGGUUAAGGAUUUCACUCGGCGACCUGAGUAUUCUUUCCAACUAAGGGCAUCAGCUACUACAUUCGUUUUUCCUGGGUGAUAGCGAAUCUCGCAUUCGUAGUCAUUCAGUAGUUCAACCCAUCGUCUCUUCCUCAUGUUGAGUUCUUUUUGGUUAAGGAUGUGAUGAAGGCUCUUGUGAUCGGUGAAGAUCAUGCAUUUUGUUCCAUAAAGACAAUGUCUCCAGAUUUUUAGCGCGAAAACAACUGCUCCUAGUUCAAGAUCAUGGGUAGUGUAGUUGACUUCGUGCGUCUUGAGUUGUCUUGAGGCGUAAGCAAUGAACUUACCUCGUUGCAUUAGUACACAUCCAAGACCAUGAUUAGAUGCAUCACAGUAGACCAUGAAGUCUUCUGUUCCUUCUGGCAAGCACAAUAUAGCUGUGUUGCACAAUGCUUGCUUCAGUGUUUCGAAUGCAGCGUCUUGUCUUUCUUCCCAAUUGAAAGUAACACCCUUUUGGGCCAGGGUGGUAAGGCCCAAGAAUUGUCGAAUUUUCUGUUAGGGUUCUUGGAAUAAAUGAGUAUAUCGUCUAUGAACAUGAUCACAAAUUUGUCCAAGAAUGAACGACACGCUAUGUUCAUUAAGUCCAUGAACACCGCCGAUGCGUUUGUUAAUCCAAAGGGCAUCACUACAAACUCGUAGUGACCAUAACGAGUUCGAAAAGUUGUUUUGGGAACAUCUCCUCCGAGGACUCGUAGUUGGUGGUACCCGGAUCUUAAGUUGAUCUUUGAGAAAUAAGUCGCUCCCUGGAGUUGGUCGAAUAGGUCGCCGAUGCGUGGUAGUGGGUAUCGGUUCUUGAUAGUGAGCUCGUUAAGUUCUCGGUAGUCGAUGCACAUACGGAAAGAUCCAUCCUUCUUCUUUACGAAUAAGACUGGUGCUCCCCAAGGUGAGAAGCUCGGCCUCAUGAAUCCUUUGUUGAGUAGUUCGUUUAGUUGGCUGGAUAACUCCUGCAUCUCUGCCGGUGCUAGAUGGUACGACGACUUAGCUACUGGUGUAGCUCUAGGAAUUAAGUCGAUUCUGAACUCGACCUGACGUUCCAGUGGAACUCCAGGAGAUCUUCAGGGAAGAUAUCGGGAAAAUCGCAGACAUCUGGAAUGCAUUUGAUGCUCUUCAUUUCUUUUUCCUUAUCUACCACGUGGGCUAAGAAGGCAUAGCACUCCUAACGUAGGUAUUUCUGGGCUUUGACAUAAGAGAUGAUUUGUAAAUUGGUACCGGGUUUGUUGCCAUAAAUGACAAGAGUUUCGCCGCUUGGCAGAUUUAGGCGAACGACCCUUUCGUGACAAAGUAUAUCGGCAUGGUGUAGGCUUAACCAAUCCAUACCGAUGAUAAAAUCAAAGCUCUUUAUAAUUAUUGACAUUAGAUCGAUUUGAAAUGAGUGAUCGUUUAGAGUUAGUGUGCAGCCUAUGUACAUAUCAUUUAUGCUUUCUGCUCUACCGUUUGCCAUUUCUAUUGUGAAUAUCUUAUUAAGUGUUUUAGGGUUCUGUUUUAGUAUAUGCUAGAAUUCAUCACUCACGAAACUCCUUUUUGCACCACAAUCAAAGAGUAUACAUGCAUAACCGUUAUUAAGGAGAAACGUACCCGUAACCACCGUGGGAUCAGCUAUUGCUUCGUUCUGCCCUAUUGCCAUCAUUCUUCCAAGGCCACCACCAUUCCUUGCCUUAGGGCAGUCCCUCUUAUAGUGUCCAGCCUCACGGCAUCCAUAACAUGCCUAGCCUACACUAGCUCCUUGGACUUGGGUGAUUGGUUGUGCUGGUGCUCUACAGAAACGGGCAGUGUGCCCCUUCUUGUUGCAGUUGUUGCAAUGCGUCUCCCGACGAUUUCCAUUGUGAUUUAAAUUGCAUUUGUUGCAUUUUGGCAGGUUUCCAGCAUACGGCUUCGCUAGUGUAGUGGUAAUUGGUGCAGCAGUGGGGGUAGUAGCGGCAUGGACUGCCACGAUUUGUUGUUUCUUGGAAGGUUCCUGUGAAGGUUGACUCUUCCUUUUGUUCUAGAACCUCUUCUUCUUGUUGUUAUUGGUAUUGUCGUUGUUGUUGCUGCUUCCUCUGGGUUGUUCCGGUGCGGUAGUUGCGAAGUUUUGGCAGACCCCAUGGUCUACGAGAGCUUGUGCCAAUUGUUUGGCGGAAUCGAAGGUGAUUGGUUUGGAAGCUAGAACACUUCCUCGAAUCUGGGGUGACAGUCCCCAGAUGUACCUUUGAUAUUCUUGCUCUCUAGAGCAACUAUUCCUGGGCAAAGGAUUGCCAAAUCAUUGAACCUGUUGGUAUAGGUCGUGAUAUCUGAGCCUACCAUGCUAAGGCCCCAAAGUUCCUGUUCAAGCUUUUGCAAUUUGCCCCGAGGACAGUACUCCUACAAUAAGAUUUGUUUUACGUUCUCCCAGCACAUAGAGUUAGCGGCUACUAGCGUUAGUGACUUGACAUGGCCAUUCCACCAUGUCAUAGCUCUCUUAGAGAAAGUAUUAGCAGCGAACUUCACUUUGUUCCCUUUCGGACAAGAACAAAACUCGAAAACUGCUUCAGUUUUCUCUAUCCACUGUGAUAGAGCCAUUAUCCCACCUGUCCCAUUAAAAGUAAUGGGUUUGCUAUUCAUGAAAUCCUUGUAUGUACAAUUCCCUAAACGACCUAGGCAUUGGCCAUUCGUAGACCUAUUCGCUCCCACACCAGAACCAUUGUUACUCAUUUGGGCCAUUACCGCUGUUACUGCAGCCGUUACAGCAGCUAUCAGUGCGGCAUUUUCCGUUGUUGGAGGCGGUGUUGGUGGAGGUAUCGUUCCUAGCCUGGGUCUUAGGUUUGGAUGAGGAGGCAUCGCGCUGCCAAGAAAUUAAAAUAAAAGAUUAUAAGUUUUGGUGGUUGAGAGUUGAAUGAUAAUGAGUUAACUAUCUUUAAUAGUUCGAGAAUUUGGUUUAACCAACACAGGGUUUUGAGUUUGAUUUACUAAUGGAGUUUGAAUAACAAUAAACAAACUCAUGAACUCGAAUGAAAUGCAUAGAUUUAACACACAAAAGAGAUAUGUCCUAUAUAUAUUAAACGUAUGGUUGUGUUACAUCCGAAGUUAGAAAAUUGUGACCUUUCUAAAGGUCUUUGAUUACAGGAAGUUAAAGAGGGUAAGACUUUUAGCCGGUGGUCCUAUUCUAUAUCAAAAUUUUGGGAUUCGGCAAGCACUACAUGGGACGUAGGCUGCGCUUGGAGCUUGACUCCGCAUCCGAAUACUUUGCUUCCAUAGGACGCCUAUCGAAGGCGGCUUGUUGUUCCCUCAUCUCGGAGAGGGCUGCAAUCAUUUGUGCUUGGAAUGCGUCAGUUUGGAGUUGGGCAUUAUCAUGUGCUCUAUCCAGCCUACGGAUGUCGGAAGUGCGAACCUGUACUUCCACGUUGACCUCACGAAUCCGGCUAGCUUGAACCCCGGAUUGAUAGGACUAGUUGACUAGCUUGCCCACCAUGACUGGGAGUGCUCGAUCGGAUGAACCUCCGCCGUGGACAUCGUAGAAGUCUCGAAACAUGCCGUAGGGAGGAUGUAUCCCUUCUUGCUGGCUCCAAUGGUGGAGGUGACUUCCCUAAACGGGAGUCGGUCCCUGGAAGUUCCUCCUAAUAGCAGGAGGUUGAGCGGCUGGAGGGUCGAAUACUUAUGGUUUUGAGUCCGUCCCAGAGUCAUCCCCUCUCUCCAACUCGAUAGGUUCCUCAUCCUCUUCGGGAUCUUCUUCGAUCCAUCCCCCGUUACCUUGGUUAGGGUAGUAGGGGUCGACGGGGUGAUGAAAUCCAACCAUUGAGUCUAUACGUGAAUAGGGUUAUAGGAAUUGAACAAAUUCUGAAACAUGUAAAACUAAACAUGCUGCUUAAACUAUUGCAUCUACCAAAUACUCCUAUAGUAUUGAAAUUUAUAUGUUUGAUACUAGUGUUUAUUUUUGCUAUGUUUUGACUUGUUGCUCACUAUGACCCUUCCUCGACAUACAUUAGUCUAAUCUCUGAUAAAUAUAGUUGAUCAGACUAUAUUCCUCCCAAAUUCGAUUACAUAUAUUGAGAACUAAUCGUAGUCUCCAACUCGUUUCAAUACUUCUUGUAUAGUUCUAACCAUGAAAAUAUAUCGUUGUAAGCAUGUACUUGUAUUUUUACGACCCAAAAUAAUCUAAAUUAAAUGAAACGAGGCUUUAGGUGUAAAAACAUUUUGUCAGAGAGUUUUAGUCCCUUAUGCAUUUAUAGUUUGUAUAUCUUAUGUGGUCCGGUAUAAUUAGUUCACUAUAAACAAUGCUCUGAUACCAAUCUAUCACACCCCCAAACCAGAACGGCGGAAUCGUUCGAUGGCGGACGACUUCAUAAAAAUUUACAUUUUUGAAAGGUACUUGUUUGAAAAAAAUUACAAUAUGAUGUUUAAAAUGAAAUUAAACUAAUGCCAUAUCGUCCCUUCUUCAAAAGCUGUAGUUUUACCUGAACUACUGAAUCCCUGAGAAAUACAAGUAGUUUUGAAAGAGUAGAUCAACAUUUAAGCUGGUGAGUUCAUAAGUAUUUAGUGAAAAUGUUGAUAAGAAAAGAAUUAAAAUGGUUUGUUCAUGUUAAAUGUUCCAAGAAAAUCCCAUAUUUUCUACUAUAGUAAAUGGUAGUUUGAUUUUUCGAGAACUACGAUUGCAAUAGUGUUAUUCAUGUCUACAAUAGUAUUUUUAUGUGUAAAUCGUUAAUUGAUUUGAAAAACCUCGUAAAUCAAUGUGUUUUUACUACUCCAUGUGAGUUUUAUAACCAUUCUAUUUGACCAGGAUGCCUAUAACAACGUUCUUCAAGCGUUGAAAAGUUAUGACGUUCAUCACCCCAGGCCUACUGACCUAGUUUUAGCUAACAACUUAGGUGCGGGAUUGUCAAUCCCGUAUAGAUCUAGACACAACUAUCACACUCCCCCUACAAGGGAAUAUGGUAUAUAAUACAAGACUUAAAAUGCAUACUCGAAUGUAUGUGAAAUGUCUCCCAAAACUUAGUAUAAAACAGAUUUACGUAUCAAAAAUGUCCAUUUAUUCUUGUGUAAGAAAAUAUCUCUUUGAUAUAAUGUUUCUAUUGUGUAAAUGUUCCUGAUUUCUCGUAAACUAUACCUAUUAUAGUUUUUCAAAGUGUGUGUUUCGUUCGUAUCGUAAACCCUAGUGUAAUGCUCACUCAUUAUGUAACGUAUAACACUUAAAGUGACUUGAGUGAUCACAUAUACCUAAUGUAAAAAUGGAGCAUUUUAUUUGCAUAUAUAUAUAUAUNAGACAAGGUGUUAUUGAAAAUAUAUAUUUCAUACGAGAAUACUCAUGUAGUAGUUUAUGAAUCACACAUGAUUACAUAGAUAGAAAGUUUAUAUAGUGAAUCGUUAAGUUAUACAUGAUAAUAACCGUUUGUUUUACUUGAAUCCCCCCCUAAUAUUUUAUAAAAAGCAUUUAUCAAACAUUUAAAAGCGUAGUUUAUAGGGGUAUGAACUCACUUGAAAGAUCGAAGAAGGCGAAAUGAGAACCGAGCAGAACUUUGACUCGAGAAAGGAGAUUUUCUCGGGAUUCUCGGAAAUCUCGGGAGCACAAACGACCUUCUGGGCUUGAGUAUGGAAACCGGGGUUUCGGGAUAUCACGUGCAUGAAAAACGAGGCAAAAACGCAAGAAAGAUGAGAGGAAAUGAGCAUUUUCCCCGGAACCCUCACAUCCGUUUUAUAGGGGCUGGGAAUCGCCUCGGUACGCUGGACGUACGGGGUUACGCUGGGCAUAUGCGUGCGUCAUGCAUGACAGCAUCCUCGACUGCCUCGGAGCUCGGAUGGGACGGGGCAUCGCCUCGCAUAGGGGGCGACGUGGACGAUCCGAGGCCUAGUCCUCAAGUACGCUGGGGGUACGAGAGUACGCUGGUCAUCUGAGAGUACGCUGGUCGUAAAUCGGAUUGGCCCGGUGACUCCUCCUUCGGAUAAUACCGAAAUUUGAUUUAAAUUUAUAUUUUUAUUAUUUAGUAAACUUCAAAUAUUCAUAUCUUCUUCAUACGAACUCCGGAGGGGCAUAAAGUCGCACAUUGUUAAACCGGGGUGAGGAAUCCUCUGCGUAGGAUAUCCUUUGGACUAAACCCAAUUAUAUGUAUUGUCCACAGUUCCAUUAUUGACCAAAUUUUCAAUAGCUUCACUUUCAUUGAGCAAUUUUUCUAUUAAUAGAUUUAAGCGUACAAUAUCACUCUGAGCUAAAUCUCUUUGGUUUAAAGCUAUCUCUAGUUGUGUUUCACUUAACAUUCUUGCGUCCUUUUCUAACUCUAAAUCUCUUUCUAACAUGGCCAUUUUGAGUCUUUUGUUGUGCAGUCAUCCUCUCACAUGAAACAUCUCUUGGGACACUAUGUUCUUCUCAUCUAAGGCUUUGAUGUACUCUGUAAGGACGGCAACACAAGUGUCAUUAAGAUUGUCUAUGAAAGGUUGACAGUCAUUCAUGUUAUAGUUUAGAGUUUGGAUCAUAAGUUUUACCAGUUCGACGAUGCUUAGAGCUCCAUCCUUUUCCAUGUAGCAGUAGUUCCUUUCCAACUUUGUAGACCCAUCAUCAUCAGCACUUGCUAGAAUGCAGAUCUUGCCUUUUCCUUUGAUAUUGCUGAUGGUUUCUUCCUUAUCUUCGGAUGACCAUACUUGAUGGUCUCUUUUGACAUGGGCCACAUAUGCCCUAUCCUUUUCCUUUUCCUCCAAUUCUUGAGCCAUUUUAAGGUAGAAUGCUCUGUCUUUCACAACAUUAACAUUGAAAUCCUUUGCAAAAUGAUUCUCUUGGUUGCACUUGUGAUAUAUUACAACAUCACUUUUGUCUUCUGAAGGAGUACCGGAGUCAGAGGUUUGAAUGGACUGCGGUACUUCCUUUGGUUGAGUGUUUUGAGAUUGCGGUUGUGGGUGAGGACUUUUAGGAUAAUGAGAGUGAUUGUUUUGUGGGUUGAAGUUAAGGUUGAAAUGAGGUUUGUUGAAUUAUUGAUUCUUGUGAAAAGAGUGAGGUGGUAGUCGGUUGAACUGUUUACUAACAAGAGCAAUAGCCUUCUGAAAUUCUUCUUCAUCAUCAUACUCUAUGUCGGUUUUGUACGACUGCGGUGUAGUGUCGUACGAGGAAGAGUAAGAUUGAUUACGAAGAGCUUGCGCUACAAGAGGAAGUGGUCCUCCGAAGUCAGCACAGUCUUUGAGUACAGUGGAUUCUUGUGCUUGCAGUUCCCCAUAGAGCUUGUAAAGAGACAGGGAAUGAAUCUUUCUAUCUUGUUGAACUAUCAUUUUAGCAGUAGUCCAAUGUCUUCCUAAAUCGUUGAAAAAUUGAAGGUUUGUUUCAUGGUUACUGCGAAUGAUGCUAGCCUUUGAUAACUUAGUGACUAUCAGAUUCAACCUUUUGAAAGAGUAUUCUAAACUUUCGCCUGUACGAGCUCUGAAGUUGUUGAAUACAUUGAGUGCAGUUGUGAGCUCCUUAUCUUGAGCUUGUUUUGAGCCUUCAUAUAACAUCCUGAGAACAUACCAUAUCUCUUUUUCCGAUUUACAGUUUAUGAUAAUGUCGAAGUUUUCAGGAGCAACUCCACAAGAGAUUUCAUAAAAGGCAACAACAUCAUUUUCCAUUUUUAUCAGGAUCGUCUUUGGUGGGACGGUUCAUGACUGGUUGUCCUCCUCCUAGUCUUGCUGUGGCGCCAUCAGUUUGAACAUGUGUAUGAACAGGGACAUGUGAUCCUUCUUCAACAGAUCGCCAUACAUCUUUACCAAGUCUCUUUAAGUAUCUUUCCAUUCUUUGAAACUAGUGAUGGUAUUCAUUUGCCACCAAUAUUAGAGCUUGAUUUGAACCACCAACACUGUUGCAAACAUUCAGAGAAAGUGUUUGUGCCAUUCUUCCUUUUUUUCUGUUUUUUUUUAAGAAAUGAGCUUCAGUGGUAUAGAAGGCCCUUUGAAAAUCAGUGUUUUAUUUUUUCAAAAAGCAACCACUAUGGCUCUGAUACCAAUUGUUGAGAGAAAAACUAAGACACACUUGAACAAACGUUAGAACAAGUAUAGUUGCGAAAUUAGUUAAUCUCAAGGAUCUAAAAGCUCAACAAUAAUAAGUUAAAGAGUUAGAUAGUUAGAUAGUUAGUUGCGUAAAUGUAAGGAAGCAUAAAUGACAGCAGGUGAUAUAUCAAGUGAAAUCAUAAGUUGAUUCAUAACAUGGAACGCAUUCAAAGCAAGUUAGUGAGUGAGAUCAAGCUUAGUGAUAAAAUCACGAAUGACUUGCUCCGAAGAGAAAUAUUUGUCAGUUACGUUGGAGAGGAUUUAGAGAGUAAGAAAAUUAUGAGAUGUGUAAGAGAAAUGUAAAUGAUAUACUUGAGGAUAGUUCAAAUAGAUAAAAGUGAAAAGAUUUUUUUUAACUAUGAAAGAAUGAGCUCUAUUUAUAGAAACUCAAGAAUUAC